GCCCAUCUGGCGGAAUUGGUAGACGCGCUGGUUUCAGGUACCAGUGUUCACAAGACGUGGAGGUUCGAGUCCUCUCCUGGGCACCA
rnacentral:tRNA from 1 species